rnacentral:rRNA from 1 species
CACCAGGGGGUGUGACGUCUUCGGAUCGUAAAACUCUGUUAUUAGGGAAGAACAUAUGUGUAAGUAACUGUGCACAUCUUGACGGUACCUAAUCAGAAAGCCACGGCUAACUACGUGCCAGCAGCCGCGGUAAUACGUAGGUGGCAAGCGUUAUCCGGAAUUAUUGGGCGUAAAGCGCGCGUAGGCGGUUUUUUAAGUCUGAUGUGAAAGCCCACGGCUCAACCGUGGAGGGUCAUUGGAAACUGGAAAACUUGAGUGCAGAAGAGGAAAGUGGAAUUCCAUGUGUAGCGGUGAAAUGCGCAGAGAUAUGGAGGAACCCCAGUGGCUGCAGACGA